rnacentral:rRNA from 1 species
CGGAAGACCAAGGGUUCCUGUCCAACGUUAAUCGGGGCAGGGUGAGUCGACCCCUAAGGCGAGGCCGAAAGGCGUAGUCGAUGGGAAACGGGUUAAUAUUCCCGUACUUGGUGUUACUGCGAAGGGGGGACGGAGAAGGCUAUGUUGGCCGGGCGACGGUUGUCCCGGUUUAAGCGUGUAGGUGUGUGUUCCAGGUAAAUCCGGUUCACUUUAACACUGAGGCGUGAUGACGAGGCACUACGGUGCUGAAGCAACAAAUGCCCUGCUUCCAGGAAAAGCCUCUAAGCAUCAGGUAACAUCAAAUCGUACCCCAAACCGACACAGGUGGUCAGGUAGAGAAUACCAAGGCGCUUGAGAGAACUCGGGUGAAGGAACUAGGCAAAAUGGUGCCGUAACUUCGGGAGAAGGCACGCUGACACGUAGGUGAAGUGAUUUACUCACGGAGCUGAAGUCAGUCGAAGAUACCAGCUGGCUGCAACUGUUUAUUAAAAACACAGCACUGUGCAAACACGAAAGUGGACGUAUACGGUGUGACGCCUGCCCGGUGCCGGAAGGUUAAUUGAUGGGGUCAGCGCAAGCGAA